GGUAGGAUUAGCUUACGGUCAGUCGAAGCUUGACCUACAAAGUCAGUUGGAACUGUUCAAACUCCGUAACACUUCCA
rnacentral:tRNA from 1 species